ensembl:lncRNA novel transcript
CUAUUCAAGAUGGAGACGCCCUGGUUCAGACGCCUCUGACAGAUGCUCCAAGAUGAUGUGAAGCAUCAACAUGUUCACCUCUGCUCUGGUUACAAGAGGGAUGCAGUGUUCCAGGUGUCACAUGGAGAUAGCCGGGCAUCUCAUGAAGACAGGGGCAUUUUUGUCCUUUGAUACUUUCUAUGAAUAAGGAAAAAAUUAUCUGAUAUCUCCCUUAAAACCUUUCUGGCAGGAUUGGGCCCCAUAGUGUGCCUUGCUGGAGGAGAGGCUGGAAGGGACAGUACCCGCCAUCUUUGUUCUCUCAGGUUGGAGACAGGCCCUGCUGGAGAAUGGGGAGGCACGAGGAAUAAAGAGGGUCUACUUCAGAGCAGCAGAAAAAAUGUUUCUUUCUGGAAAUAUACUGAAGAACAAAAUGUGAUAUGAAGACAUAUGGAAUAUAAAAACAAAGGGUGGACAGGCUGUGUAAAAAUGGAAUCUGUCACUCAUGUCUCCUAUUUGAUAAAUUGGAGUAUAUAUAAAUUUACUCAAUUUAAAUGCAAAUAUUUGAUUUUAGAAAGUCUCAUACUCUAUAUAUUAUAGGGCAGAAAAUUUUCAUAUCAUCGCACACUCUAUUAAAGAGGAUUUCAAACUAUUUUAAAACUGUUCAGCAGCCUUGUAAUAAAGUUAUCCUCUGAACCUCUUCACACACUUAUCAACCUUGACUUAUAUUACUCCAAAUAUUUCAGCCUGUUUCUUGAGGAUGCUUUACCUUGGGGUCUCUAAGUGUAAAGAUUUCCAGUUGUUUCCAGCACAUUCUGUCACCUUUGUUCAACUCUCCAACUUUACUUCAUUAAUGUAUAUGGAUAAUGUUCAGUUCCAUCACAUCUUAUGAAGAACUAAUGAAGCUCUUCCAGACUUAAUUUUAGGAUUCAGUGGCUGUCUGGAUUCCCUUGUAUCAGCAUUCACUUUCGUCAUCACUUGCCUUGGUAAUUUCUCCUUCUCACAACAGCAAAUUUCACGACUAACGAUGGCCCGAAGGCUCCUUCCCUCCACGGGAUUCUGCUCCAGCCACAGCAGAGACUAUUUUGCACACCUUCCAGACAUUGCUGCCCCAUUCCAGGUACCUCAAGGUCAAUAAACACAACAUGCAAAUCUCAUCUUAUACCCAUCAGGAGUAUAAACAAGACAGUUGAAUGCACACUGUUAUCAAACACUUUGUCUCUUACUGUUUUUUAAUUUUAUUUUUUUGCUGCUUUCAAUUGCUGUUUUAAGAACACAUUAUAUCUCCUUUAGGGAAUAAAUUCAACACAAUGAGAAAAUUAAGUACA